rnacentral:snoRNA from 1 species
CUGGGAAUGAUGCACACUUCAUAACUCCUGACUGUUAAUGAUGGUGUUAGUAUUCAUACUGUCUGAUCCAG